UUUUUUUUUUCUUCAAAUUUUUAAAAUUGUCUUUUUAUUUUACAUUUUUCUUAUAUAUACAGUGGGGAGAACAAGUAUUUGAUACACUGCCAAUUUGGCAGGUUUUCCUACACACAAAGCAUGUAGAGGUCUGUAAUUUUUAUCAUAGGUACACUUCAACUGUGAGAGACAGAAUCUAAAACAAAAAUCCAGAAUAUCGCAUUGUAUGAUUUUUAAGUAAUUAAUUUGCAUGAGAAACAAUGAGAAACAACAAUGAGAAACAAAACAAACCAGAAACAAUGAGAAUUUGUUCUGUACCUUUUAACCCAGUUGACUUUGAUUGAAGAGAGUGAAGUCUAAGACAUUUAGACGGCCAUCACAAACCCCGUCGGUGAUAACAUCUCUUUAUCUUAUGUGGCUUGUUUAAUGUGUCUUGUUGUGGCUUGUUUUUCUUAUGUGGUAUAGAGUAUAGGCACACAUUCUAUAUGUUGGUAACUAAGCACUGACUGCAAUCAUAUGAAUCCCGUUUAGAUUAUAAACAUGAUAAGAUAUAUAGCUAAUUCUGCUAAUCAGAACAUCUAUAUUUACUAAGCUGUAGUAUUCCGUGGGAUAUUAUAUGUGAAAGCACAGAUAGAGGAACAUCUUACUUUCUUCAGAGGGAGAACAUCAAAUCAUGAAUCAUUAAAUGCUAAAUAAAUGCCCAAAGCAUUUCUCCUAUCAUAUGAUAUCUCCACAUAUACAGCUUGGCAGAAGUUCAAUAUCAUUAUAUUAUUAUAAUAAUAGACAGUAGUCACUUAUAGAUCAUAUUCUAUAUGGGGUGUCUUAUAGUUUUAAAAACAGCCAAGUUACAACUGGCCAUGUCUCAAUGGCAUCUUAUUCUCUAUAUAUAGUGCACUAAUUUUGUCCAUGGCCCAUAGACAAUAGGGUGCCAUUUGGGACACAGCUCAUUGUUAAUUGCCAAGUACUGUUCAUUAAGGCACAUUUUAAACAAACAACAACAUUGUAAUAAUGGCACCCAACAUUAUUACAAUGUUGUUGUUUGUUUAAAAUGUGCCUUAAUGAACAGUACUUGGCAAUUAACAAUGACCUGUGUCCCAAAUUAAACCUAUAGGAAGAAAGGAGAGAGAAAGAUAUGGAUGUCCAGAAUAAUACAUUUUAGUACAGCUAAGCCUGGAAUGACACACAGGAUCACCAGAAAUAACUACCUCAGUAUAAACAUGUUUAACUUUGAAUCACAAAGAAAGGUUUAAGGUGUUAUAUAAAGGUAAAGGAUCAGAUCAUGUUCUUCCGGCGCCGACAGAGAUGUUCUUCCGGCGCCGACAGAGAUGGCCGCCUCGCUUCGCGUUCCUAGGAAACUAUGCAGUUUUUUGUUUUUUUACGUGUUAUUUCUUACACUAGUACCCCAGGUCAUCUUAGGUUUCUUUACAUACAGCCGACAAGAACUACUGAAUAUAAGAUCAGCGUCAACUCACCAUCAGUACGACCAAGAAUAUGUUUUUCGCGACGCGGAUCCUGUGUUCUGCCUUACAACCAGUGUAACCGAGUGGAUCACAUGCAGCGAAGAAAAAGAGGGAAACGAAGCGGUCUUCUGGUCAGACUCCGGAGACGGGCACAUCGUGCACCACUCCCUAGCAUUCUUCUUGCCAAUGUCCAGUCUCUUGACAACAAGGUUGAUGAAAUCCGAGCAAGGGUAGCAUUCCAGAGGGACAUCAGAGACUGUAACGUUCUCUGCUUCACGGAAACAUGGCUAACUGGAGAGACGCAAUCCGAAGCGGUGCAGCCAGCGGGUUUCUCCACGCAUCGCGCAGACAGAAACAAACAUCUUUCUGGUAAGAAGAGGGGCGGGGGCGUAUGUCUUAUGGCCAACGUGACAUGGUGUGAUGAAAGAAACAUACAGGAACUCAAAUCCUUCUGUUCACCUGAUUUAGAAUUCCUCACAAUCAAAUGUAGACCGCAUUAUCUACCAAGAGAAUUCUCUUCGAUUAUAAUCACAGCCGUAUAUAUCC
ensembl:lncRNA